rnacentral:rRNA from 1 species
UCAGGUGGGAUUACCCGCUGAACUUAAGCA